AAACGAUGGCAGCAUCCGCCAGCGGCGCUGGGCCAUACCACCAGCUGCAGGUCCCACAGAGAGGGUACGAUGCCAUACUUCCAGCAACACUUUUAGUACAGCCGUGGACACAGAACUCCACAAUGAAACUGACACAUUAGCAUGACAUAAAAUUACUUUCUUUGUUAUGAACUCCCCCUCUUAAAGUUUUGUUGAUGCUUCCAAAUAUAUAAAUUAAUAUAUCUUUGUUUUUGCAGGGUACCAGUAUAUCACCAUAUGGUUCCGUGCACACCCCAUUUUGUGCCCCACAAUAUGCACAAAACGAUGUGACCAUGCAAGGUCACAACGGGCAGCUUUUGAAAGGCAAGUCUAUUUUGCACAUUUUUAUCUCAUGACAAUUUGUUUGACAAUUUGUUUUUAUCCUUGUUUAAGACCUUGCCAUCCAAAAGAUGACAAAAAUGCUUGCCGAAGUGCUGGUGGUUGUCAAUGAACUGUCAAGGGAUGUGCAGAUCAUGGGUGAAUUAGCAGAGGCUAGAAUGACCCCAUCUUGUGGACCAGGGCCAGCCACAAGCCAAGAGAUGUUCCCCAUUCAGCUGCCUAUCACCAACGAAGAUGACUUCAAUGAGGCCGAAACAUUGUUGGGAACUGAGCCAGUCCGACAAAAGAUGAUUGCCCGCUUGGCCUUGGUGGGAGGCACUAGCUCCACAUGUAUGGUAAGGAGGAUGCUUGCAACGGUUUUGACCAACGGCCUGGCCUGCAAGUUCAAUUGGGCAGGAAAAACCUGCACACAAAGGGAUGCCAAGCAGCCCUUCAAAGACACAGCCCUGCAAGACUGCAUGUUUGUUGCUUCUCGGCAUUGUGACCGCAAACUCACACAGCAGGCCUUCAGCGACAUUGUAAAAAAUUGGUUACGUUACGCCCCUUGGCGUGCAGGAGGCAUCAAGAAAAAGUAGAUGUAGGUGAAUUUGAUAUUCCUAAUAUUCCUAAAUAGCUGUUGCAUAAGUUGCUCUGCAAGUGUUUCAUCAUGAGUGCUGACAUGUUGUCUCUGCUUCUCUCCCACAGUGUCCUCUUCAUAUGGGCUAUGGCCCUUGUUGGCCCUGGUUGCAGCCUUUUGUUUUUGAUGAGCCUAAUGAAGACUUUUUAAAAACAAGCUUAAAAUAUUGGGCCACAUCCUAUUCUGUGUCUCUUGUUGCACUGUCCUCUUUGCUCUCCAUCUUAAGGGUGUUUCAUCCCACCCUUCCCAAAGAUGCAAGAACAUGUGAUGACACAUGUGAUUACACUAAUUCGCCUUUUCUUGUUGGUAUCUUUUGUGGUGAAGGCAAGCCAAAGAUUCUUUCAAUACCUUGAAAAUUUUGAUUAUUUAAUUUGUAUUUGCUAAUAAAUGUUUUUAUCCAUAGAAACUAAAUGAAUCCAAAAUGUGUCUGUUGUUAUUAUACAGUUAGUCCUAUUGUUG
rnacentral:lncRNA from 1 species